rnacentral:snRNA from 1 species
AUGCUUACUUCGGCAGCACUUAUACUAAAAUUGGAACUAUACAGAGAAGAUUAGCAUGACCCCUGUGCAAGGCUGACUUGCAAAUUUGCAAAGCAUUCCAUAUUUUU